rnacentral:rRNA from 1 species
UGGGGAAUAUUGCACAAUGGGCGCAAGCCUGAUGCAGCCAUGCCGCGUGUAUGAAGAAGGCCUUCGGGUUGUAAAGUACUUUCAGCGGGGAGGAAGGCGUUGUGGUUAAUAACCACAGCGAUUGACGUUACCCGCAGAAGAAGCACCGGCUAACUCCGUGCCAGCAGCCGCGGUAAUACGGAGGGUGCAAGCGUUAAUCGGAAUUACUGGGCGUAAAGCGCACGCAGGCGGUGUGUUAAGUCAGAUGUGAAAUCCCCGGGCUCAACCUGGGAACUGCAUUUGAAACUGGCAGGCUUGAGUCUCGUAGAGGGGGGUAGAAUUCCAGGUGUAGCGGUGAAAUGCGUAGAGAUCUGGAGGAAUACCGGUGGCGAAGGCGGCCCCCUGGACGAAGACUGACGCUCAGGUGCGAAAGCGUGGGGAGCAAACA